ACGACGCGACAUUUGAUGUUGUCAGAUCAGAUCCGUUUGACAAUCCAUUUGCUGGAUUUUGCAGAGACAUAUCAUCAAAAUUCUAAAAUAAAACGAGUUAGAUUACAAAAUGCGGAAAAUGCUGUUAUUUGUACAUUGGCUAUCAGCUGCAACAUUUACAAGAGUGGACACUGCUCGUCGCCAUGGCAUGAAAAACUUUUUUUAAAUCAAUAAAACUUAUCAUUCCAUUAAAAAGUUAUAGAAUUUUUAGUUUUGUACAGAUUUUUAGUAACACAUGUUAUUUUUAGUAA